rnacentral:rRNA from 1 species
GAUGAACGCUGGCGGCGUGCCUAAUACAUGCAAGUCGAGCGAACAGACGAGGAGCUUGCUCCUCUGACGUUAGCGGCGGACGGGUGAGUAACACGUGGAUAACCUACCUAUAAGACUGGGAUAACUUCGGGAAACCGGAGCUAAUACCGGAUAAUAUAUUGAACCGCAUGGUUCAAUAGUGAAAGACGGUUUUGCUGUCACUUAUAGAUGGAUCCGCGCCGCAUUAGCUAGUUGGUAAGGUAACGGCUUACCAAGGCAACGAUGCGUAGCCGACCUGAGAGGGGGAUCGGCCACACUGGAACUGAGACACGGUACAGAGGCCUACGGGAGGCAGCAGUAGGGAAUCUUCCGCAAUGGGCGAAAGCCUGACGGAGCAACGCCGCGUGAGUGAUGAAGGUCUUCGGAUCGUAAAACUCUGUUAUUAGGGAAGAACAAAUGUGUAAGUAACUAUGCACGUCUUGACGGUACCUAAUCAGAAAGCCACGGCUAACUACGUG